rnacentral:misc_RNA from 1 species
UGUGGGAGCAGGCUUGCCUGCGAUGCAAACACUGCGGUCUGUCUGUUAAACCGCAGGGAUGCCAUCGCGGGCAAGCCCGCUCCCACA